rnacentral:rRNA from 1 species
GACGAACGCUGGCGGCGUGCCUAAUACAUGCAAGUAGAACGCACAAUUUAUACCGUAGCUUGCUACACCAUAGACUGUGAGUUGCGAACGGGUGAGUAACGCGUAGGUAACCUGCCUGGUAGCGGGGGAUAACUAUUGGAAACGAUAGCUAAUACCGCAUAAUAUUGAUUAUUGCAUGAUAAUUAAUUGAAAGGUGCAAUUGCACCACUACCAGAUGGACCUGCGUUGUAUUAGCUAGUAGGUGAGGUAACGGCUCACCUAGGCGACGAUACAUAGCCGACCUGAGAGGGUGAUCGGCCACACUGGGACUGAGACACGGCCCAGACUCCUACGGGAGGCAGCAGUAGGGAAUCUUCGGCAAUGGACGAAAGUCUGACCGAGCAACGCCGCGUGAGUGAAGAAGGUUUUCGGAUCGUAAAGCUCUGUUGUAAGAGAAGAACGGGUGUGAGAGUGGAAAGUUCACACUGUGACGGUAUCUUACCAGAAAGGGACGGCUAACUACGUG